rnacentral:rRNA from 1 species
UACGUAGGUGGCAAGCGUUGUCCGGAUUUAUUGGGCGUAAAGCGCGCGCAGGCGGUGAGGUAAGUCCGUCGUGAAAUCUCCCGGCUCAACUGGGAGGGUGCGGGGGAGACUGCCUGACUGGAGGCACUCAGAGGCCGGUGGAAUUCCCGGUGGAGUGGUGAAAUGCGUAGAGAUCGGGAGGAACACCAGUGGCGAAGGCGGCCGGCUGGGGGUGACCUGGACGCUGAGGCGCGAAAGCGUGGGGAGCGAACCGG